rnacentral:rRNA from 1 species
GACGAACGCUGGCGGCGUGCUUAACACAUGCAAGUCGAACGGAAAGGCCCUGCUUUUGUGGUGUGCUCGAGUGGCGAACGGGUGAGUAACACGUGUGUAACCUGCCCUUGACUUUGGGAUAACUUCAGGAAACUGGGGCUAAUACCGGAUAGGAGCUCCUGCUGCAUGGUGGGGGUUGGAAAGUUUCGGCGGUUGGGGAUGGACUCGCGGCUUAUCAGCUUGUUGGUGGGGUAGUGGCUUACCAAGGCUUUGACGGGAAGCCGGCCUGAGAGGGUGACCGGCCACAUUGGGACUGAGAUACGGCCCAGACUCCUACGGGAGGCAGCAGUGGGGAAUAUUGCACAAUGGGCGGAAGCCUGAUGCAGCAACGCCGCGUGCGGGAUGACGGCCUUCGGGUUGUAAACCGCUUUCGCCUGUGACGAAGCGUGAGUGACGGUAAUGGGUAAAGAAGCACCGGCUAACUACGUG